rnacentral:rRNA from 1 species
UUAAGUUAGAAAGGGCGCACGGUGGAUGCCUUGACACUAGGAGUCGAUGAAGGACGGGACUAACGCCGAUAUGCUUCGGGGAGCUGUAAGUAAGCUUUGAUCCGAAGAUUUCCGAAUGGGGAAACCCACCAUACGUAAUGGUAUGGUAUCCUUAUCUGAAUACAUAGGAUAAGGAAGACAGACCCAGGGAACUGAAACAUCUAAGUACCUGGAGGAAGAGAAAGCAAAUGCGAUUUCCUGAGUAGCGGCGAGCGAAACGGAACAUAGCCCAAACCAAGAGGCUUGCCUCUUGGGGUUGUAGGACAUUCUAUACGGAGUUACAAAGGAACGAGGUAGACGAAGCGACCUGGAAAGGUCCGUCGUAGAGGGUAACAACCCCGUAGUCGAAACUUCGUUCUCUCUUGAAUGUAUCCUGAGUACGGCGGAACACGUGAAAUUCCGUCGGAAUCUGGGAGGACCAUCUCCCAAGGCUAAAUACUCCCUAGUGAUCGAUAGUGAACCAGUACCGUGAGGGAAAGGUGAAAAGCACCCCGGAAGGGGAGUGAAAGAGAUCCUGAAACCGUGUGCCUACAAAUAGUCAGAGCCCGUUAACGGGUGAUGGCGUGCCUUUUGUAGAAUGAACCGGCGAGUUACGAUCCCGUGCGAGGUUAAGCUGAAGAGGCGGAGCCGCAGCGAAAGCGAGUCUGAAUAGGGCGUUUAGUACGUGGUCGUAGACCCGAAACCAGGUGAUCUACCCAUGUCCAGGGUGAAGUUCAGGUAACACUGAAUGGAGGCCCGAACCCACGCACGUUGAAAAGUGCGGGGAUGAGGUGUGGGUAGCGGAGAAAUUCCAAUCGAACCUGGAGAUAGCUGGUUCUCCCCGAAAUAGCUUUAGGGCUAGCCUUAAGUGUAAGAGUCUUGGAGGUAGAGCACUGAUUGGACUAGGGGUCCUCAUCGGAUUACCGAAUUCAGUCAAACUCCGAAUGCCAAUGACUUAUCCUUAGGAGUCAGACUGCGAGUGAUAAGAUCCGUAGUCAAAAGGGAAACAGCCCAGACCGCCAGCUAAGGUCCCAAAGUGUGUAUUAAGUGGAAAAGGAUGUGGAGUUGCUUAGACAACUAGGAUGUUGGCUUAGAAGCAGCCACCAUUUAAAGAGUGCGUAAUAGCUCACUAGUCGAGUGACUCUGCGCCGAAAAUGUACCGGGGCUAAAUACACCACCGAAGCUGCGGAUUGAUACCAAUGGUAUCAGUGGUAGGGGAGCGUUCUAAGGACAGUGAAGUCAGACCGGAAGGACUGGUGGAGUGCUUAGAAGUGAGAAUGCCGGUAUGAGUAGCGAAAGACGGGUGAGAAUCCCGUCCACCGAAUGCCUAAGGUUUCCUGAGGAAGGCUCGUCCGCUCAGGGUUAGUCAGGACCUAAGCCGAGGCCGACAGGCGUAGGCGAUGGACAACAGGUUGAUAUUCCUGUACCACCUCUUUAUCGUUUGAGCAAUGGAGGGACGCAGAAGGAUAGAAGAAGCGUGCGAUUGGUUGUGCACGUCCAAGCAGUUAGGCUGAUAAGUAGGCAAAUCCGCUUAUCGUGAAGGCUGAGCUGUGAUGGGGAAGCUCCUUAUGGAGCGAAGUCUUUGAUUCCCCGCUGCCAAGAAAAGCUUCUAGCGAGAUAAAAGGUGCCUGUACCGCAAACCGACACAGGUAGGCGAGGAGAGAAUCCUAAGGUGUGCGAGAGAACUCUGGUUAAGGAACUCGGCAAAAUGACCCCGUAACUUCGGGAGAAGGGGUGCUUUCUUAACGGAAAGCCGCAGUGAAUAGGCCCAAGCGACUGUUUAGCAAAAACACAGCUCUCUGCGAAGCCGUAAGGCGAAGUAUAGGGGGUGACACCUGCCCGGUGCUGGAAGGUUAAGGAGAGGGGUUAGCGUAAGCGAAGCUCUGAACUGAAGCCCCAGUAAACGGCGGCCGUAACUAUAACGGUCCUAAGGUAGCGAAAUUCCUUGUCGGGUAAGUUCCGACCCGCACGAAAGGUGUAACGAUUUGGGCACUGUCUCAACCAGAGACUCGGUGAAAUUAUAGUACCUGUGAAGAUGCAGGUUACCCGCGACAGGACGGAAAGACCCCGUGGAGCUUUACUGUAGCCUGAUAUUGAAUUUUGGUACAGUUUGUACAGGAUAGGCGGGAGCCUUUGAAACCGGAGCGCUAGCUUCGGUGGAGGCGCUGGUGGGAUACCGCCCUGACUGUAUUGAAAUUCUAACCUACGGGUCUUAUCGACCCGGGAGACAGUGUCAGGUGGGCAGUUUGACUGGGGCGGUCGCCUCCUAAAGUGUAACGGAGGCGCCCAAAGGUUCCCUCAGAAUGGUUGGAAAUCAUUCGUAGAGUGCAAAGGCAUAAGGGAGCUUGACUGCGAGACCUACAAGUCGAGCAGGGACGAAAGUCGGGCUUAGUGAUCCGGUGGUUCCGCAUGGAAGGGCCAUCGCUCAACGGAUAAAAGCUACCCCGGGGAUAACAGGCUUAUCUCCCCCAAGAGUCCACAUCGACGGGGAGGUUUGGCACCUCGAUGUCGGCUCAUCGCAUCCUGGGGCUGUAGUCGGUCCCAAGGGUUGGGCUGUUCGCCCAUUAAAGCGGUACGCGAGCUGGGUUCAGAACGUCGUGAGACAGUUCGGUCCCUAUCCGUCGUGGGCGUAGGAAAUUUGAGAGGAGCUGUCCUUAGUACGAGAGGACCGGGAUGGACGCACCGCUGGUGUACCAGUUGUUCUGCCAAGGGCAUAGCUGGGUAGCUAUGUGCGGAAGGGAUAAGUGCUGAAAGCAUCUAAGCAUGAAGCCCCCUCAAGAUGAGAUUUCCCAUAGCGUAAGCUAGUAAGAUCCCUGAAAGAUGAUCAGGUUGAUAGGUUCGAGGUGGAAGCAUGGUGACAUGUGGAGCUGACGAAUACUAAUAGAUCGAGGACUUAACCAU